rnacentral:rRNA from 1 species
AUUCCGGUUGAUCCUGCCGGAGGCCAUUGCUAUUGGGAUCCGAUUUAGCCAUGCUAGUCGCACGAGUUCAGACUCGUGGCGAAUAGCUCAGUAACACGUGGCCAAACUACCCUUCGGAACACAAUACCCUCGGGAAACUGAGGCUAAUAGUGUAUACCAUACCACCACUGGAAUGAGUGGUAUGCCAAACGCUCCGGCGCCGAAGGAUGUGGCUGCGGCCGAUUAGGUAGACGGUGGGGUAACGGCCCACCGUGCCAAUAAUCGGUACGGGUCAUGAGAGUGAGAACCCGGAGACGGAAUCUGAGACAAGAUUCCGGGCCCUACGGGGCGCAGCAGGCGCGAAACCUUUACACUGCACGACAGUGCGAUAGGGGGAUCCCAAGUGCACAGGCAUAGCGCCUGUGCUUUUCGGUACCCUAAGGCGGUACCAGAAUAAGGGCUGGGCAAGACCGGUGCCAGCCGCCGCGGUAAUACCGGCAGCCCAAGUGAUGGCCGAUCUUAUUGGGCCUAAAGCGUCCGUAGCUGGCCGCGCAAGUCCAUCGGGAAAUCCACCUGCUCAACAGGUGGGCGCCCGGUAGAAACUGCGUGGCUUGGGACCGGAAGGCGCGACGGGUACGUCCGGGGUAGGAGUGAAAUCCCGUAAUCCUGGACGGACCGCCGAUGGCGAAAGCACGUCGCGAGAACGGAUCCGACAGUGAGGGACGAAAGCCAGGGUCUCGAACCGGAUUAGAUACCCGGGUAGUCCUGGCCGUAAACAAUGUCUGCUAGGUGUGGCUCCCACUACGAGUGGGUGCUGUGCCGUAGGGAAGCCGCUAAGCAGACCGCCUGGGAAGUACGUCCGCAAGGAUGAAACUUAAAGGAAUUGGCGGGGGAGCACUACAACCGGAGGAGCCUGCGGUUUAAUUGGACUCAACGCCGGACAUCUCACCAGCAUCGACUGU